rnacentral:piRNA from 1 species
UCUCAUGUUCAGAGUCUACUUCCUUAUCUCC